AAAAAUUAGGUGUAUAGAUUGCAUACUUUGUUUUGGUCGAAGAGGUGGUUUGAGAAUAUUUGUAGCCAAUUUUUA
rnacentral:tRNA from 1 species